CGGUAAUUAUAGUCUAGCCUGCUCACUGACAAAAGUGUUAAAUAGCCGCGGUAUUUUGACCGUGCAAAGGUAGCAUAAUCAUUAGUUUUUUAAUUGGAAACUUGUAUGAAUGGUUGGACAAAGAAAAGACUGUCUCUUUUAUUAAAAUUGAAAUUAACUUCUAAGUGAAAAGGCUUAGAUUUUCUAGAGGGACGAUAAGACCCUAUAAAGCUUCAUAAGUUAAAUAAAUUAGAUGGAUUUUUAGAAUAAAAGUAAAUUUAGUAAGCUUAUUUAGUUGGGGCGACAAGGGUAUAAAAUUAAAUAACUGCUAUUAAGGUUAGACAAUUAUAUUUGGGUUGGGAUUGUAUUGGAUCCUCGCUAUGGAAUAAAAGAUUUAAUUUACUUUUAGGGGAUAACCAGCGUAAUUUCCUUUAAAGAAGUUCUUAUCAAAGGAGAAGUUUGGCAACCUCCAAUGUUAAAUAAAAUGUCUUUAUAGUGCAAAGCAUAAAAAAGGGCUGUUCACCUUUAUUUUUACCUGACCGAGUCCGACCGGG
rnacentral:rRNA from 1 species